rnacentral:rRNA from 1 species
CGCGUAGGCGGAUUGGAAAGUUGGGGGUGAAAUCCCGGGGCUCAACCCCGGAACUGCCUCCAAAACACCCAGUCUAGAGUUCGAGAGAGGUGAGUGGAAUUCCGAGUGUAGAGGUGAAAUUCGUAGAUAUUCGGAGGAACACCAGUGGCGAAGGCGGCUCACUGGCUCGAUACUGACGCUGAGGUGCGAAAGCGUGGGGAGCAAACA